rnacentral:rRNA from 1 species
GAUGAACGCUGGCGGCGUGCCUAAUACAUGCAAGUCGAGCGAACAGACGAGGAGCUUGCUCCUCUGACGUUAGCGGCGGACGGGUGAGUAACACGUGGAUAACCUACCUAUAAGACUGGGAUAACUUCGGGAAACCGGAGCUAAUACCGGAUAAUAUAUUGAACCGCAUGGUUCAAUAGUGAAAGACGGUUUUGCUGUCACUUAUAGAUGGAUCCGCGCCGCAUUAGCUAGUUGGUAAGGUAACGGCUUACCAAGGCGACGAUGCGUAGCCGACCUGAGAGGGUGAUCGGCCACACUGGAACUGAGACACGGUCCAGACUCCUACGGGGGGCAGCAGUAGGGAAUCUUCCGCAAUGGGCGAAAGCUUGACGGAGCAACGCCGCGUGAGUGAUGAAGGUCUUCGGAUCGUAAAACUCUGUUAUUAGGGAAGAACAAAUGUGUAAGUAACUAUGCACGUCUUGACGGUACCUAAUCAGAAAGCCACGGCUAACUACGUG